ACGGAGGGUGCAAGCGUUAUCCGGAAUCAUUGGGUUUAAAGGGUCCGUAGGCGGGUAAUUAAGUCAGAGGUGAAAUCCCACAGCUUAACUGUGGAACUGCCUUAGAUACUGGUUAUCUUGAGUUUUAGUGAAGUAGAUAGAAUGUGUAGUGUAGCGGUGAAAUGCAUAGAUAUUACACAGAAUACCGAUUGCGAAGGCAGUCUACUAACUAACAACUGACGCUAAUGGACGAAAGCGUGGGGAGCGAACAGG
rnacentral:rRNA from 1 species